GGUUCGAACGGCGCUCCCAACCCAAUGU
rnacentral:rRNA from 1 species